UAGAAGAGAUAAUGCUAAAAUUAGUAAUAAGGGAGCACAGACUCCCUCCCCGCGCAUGUGUAAGUCAGACCGGACAAACCACUGAUAAUUAACGGACCCAGACAUGAGGGAAAAACAACAAGCAGAAAAAACCAGAAAACCUUGUUUUACUACAACCGUUAAACCAACACAGGAGCGCCUUAAGGAAAGACUAAAAGAGAGAGAAGGAACUCGGCAAACACAAACCCCGCCUGUUUACCAAAAACAUCGCCUCUUGCAAACAAAGGAUGUAUUAGAGGUCCCGCCUGCCCUGUGACCAUGGUGUUUAACGGCCGCGGUAUCCUGACCGUGCGAAGGUAGCGUAAUCACUUGUCUUUUAAAUGAAGACCUGUAUGAAUGGCAUAACGAGGGUUUAACUGUCUCCUCCCUCCAGUCAAUGAAAUUGAUCUGUCCGUGCAGAAGCGGACAUAAACACAUAAGACGAGAAGACCCUAUGGAGCUUUAGGCUAAAGAACAAGCACGUACAAAACCUCAAACCUUUAAUCCAAAAGAUAAAACAAAGAGGCCCACAAACCUAAGUGCAAAAUGAUCGACAAUGCCUUCGGUUGGGGCGACCACGGGAGAAAAGAAAGCUCCCGCAUGGAAUGGAGGAAACUCCCAAACCAAGAAAAACACUUCUAAGUAACAGAACAUCUGACCAAAAAUGACCCAGGAAGACAUAUCUCUAAACCUGAUCAAUGAACCAAGUUACCCUAGGGAUAACAGCGCAAUCCCCUCCCAGAGUCCAUAUCGACAAGGGGGUUUACGACCUCGAUGUUGGAUCAGGACAUCCUAAUGGUGCAGCCGCUAUUAAGGGUUCGUUUGUUCAACGAUUAAUAGUCCUACGUGAUCUGAGUUCAGACCGGAGUAAUCCAGGUCGGUUUCUAUCUAUGAACGCUACUUCUUCCCAGUACGAAAGGACCGGAAAAAGGGGGCCCAUGCUAAAAGUACGCCCCACCCCAACCUCCUGAAAAAAUAUAAAGAAG
rnacentral:rRNA from 1 species